CAAAGGUUAAUUCCGGUGGCGGAUGGGCAUGCGUCGCAUUAGUUAGUUGGCGGUGUAACGGACCACCAAGACGACGAUGCGUAGGGGUUCUGAGAGGAAGGUCCCCCACACUGGUACUGAGACACGGACCAGACUCCUACGGGAGGCAGCAGUGAGGAAUAUUGGUCAAUGGGCGGGAGCCUGAACCAGCCAAGUCGCGUGAGGGAUGACGGCCCUAUGGGUUGUAAACCUCUUUUGCCGGGGAGCAAAGUGCCGCACGUGUGCGGUUUGGAGAGUACCCGGAGAAAAAGCAUCGGCUAACUCCGUGCCAGCAGCCGCGGUAAUACGGAGGAUGCGAGCGUUAUCCGGAUUUAUUGGGUUUAAAGGGUGCGUAGGCGGACGCUUAAGUCAGCGGUAAAAUUGCGGGGCUCAACCUCGUCGAGCCGUUGAAACUGGGUGCCUUGAGUGGGCGAGAAGUACGCGGAAUGCGUGGUGUAGCGGUGAAAUGCAUAGAUAUCACGCAGAACUCCGAUUGCGGAGGCAGCGUACCGGCGCCCAACUGACGCUGAAGCACGAAGGCGUGGGUAUCGAACAGGAUUAGAUACCCUGGUAGUCCACGCAGUAAACGAUGAAUGCUAGUUGUCCGGGGCGAUUGAGUUCUGG
rnacentral:rRNA from 1 species